AAAGGGGGGCGACUCCUGAGUACAGCGGCGUACGGGUGAGUAACACGUGGGUAAUCUACCUCUUAGUGGGGAAUAACCCUGGGAAACCGGGGCUAAUACCGCAUAAGCCUGAGAAGGGAAAGCAGCAAUGCGCUGAGAGAGGAGCCCGCGGCCGAUUAGCUAGUUGGUGAGGUAACGGCCCACCAAGGCAACGAUCGGUAGCCGGCCUGAGAGGGCACACGGCCACACUGGCACUGAAACACGGGCCAGACUCCUACGGGAGGCAGCAGUGGGGAAUCUUGCACAAUGGGGGAAACCCUGAUGCAGCGACGCCGCGUGAGCGAUGAAGCCCUUCGGGGUGUAAGCUCUUUCGGCAGGGAAGAUGAUGACGGUACCUGCAGAAGCAGCUGCGGCUAACUACGUGCCAGCAGCCGCGGUAAUACGUAGGCAGCAAGCGUUGUUCGGAGUUACUGGGCGUAAAGGGUGUGUAGGCGGUUCUUUAAGUUUGUCGUGAAAUCUCCCGGCUCAACCGGGAGGGUGCGGCGAAUACUGAGGAGCUAGAGUGCGGGAGAGGAGAGUGGAAUUCCUGGUGUAGCGGUGAAAUGCGUAGAUAUCAGGAGGAACACCGGUGGUGUAAACGGCUCUCUGGACCGUAACUGACGCUGAGACACGAAAGCGUGGGUAGCAAACAGGAUUAGAUACCCUGGUAGUCCACGCCCUAAACGAUGCAUAUUUGGUGUGGGUCAUUCAGUUGAUCCGUGCCGGAGCUAACGCGUUAAAUAUGCCGCCUGGGGAGUACAGUCGCAAGGCUGAAACUC
rnacentral:rRNA from 1 species